AACUUGGUGGUGCAGUGGUAGCACGCGUCCCCGGAUAGGACGAAACGCUGGUUUGAUUUCCGUCUGAGGCCG